AUUGAACGCUGGCGGCAGGCCUAACACAUGCAAGUCGAGCGGCAGCGGGAAAGUAGCUUGCUACUUUUGCCGGCGAGCGGCGGACGGGUGAGUAAUGCCUGGGAAAUUGCCCAGUCGAGGGGGAUAACAGUUGGAAACGACUGCUAAUACCGCAUACGCCCUACGGGGGAAAGCAGGGGACCUUCGGGCCUUGCGCGAUUGGAUAUGCCCAGGUGGGAUUAGCUAGUUGGUGAGGUAAUGGCUCACCAAGGCGACGAUCCCUAGCUGGUCUGAGAGGAUGAUCAGCCACACUGGAACUGAGACACGGUCCAGACUCCUACGGGAGGCAGCAGUGGGGAAUAUUGCACAAUGGGGGAAACCCUGAUGCAGCCAUGCCGCGUGUGUGAAGAAGGCCUUCGGGUUGUAAAGCACUUUCAGCGAGGAGGAAAGGUCAGUAGCUAAUAUCUGCUGACUGUGACGUUACUCGCAGAAGAAGCACCGGCUAACUCCGUGCCAGCAGCCGCCGUAACAC
rnacentral:rRNA from 1 species